rnacentral:rRNA from 1 species
UGGGAAUGCAGCCCAAAACGGGUGGUAGACUCCAUCUAAAGCUAAAUACGGGCACGAGACCGAUAGCGAACAAGUACCGCGAGGGAAAGAUGAAAAGCACUUUGAAAAGAGAGUUCAACAGCACGUGAAACCGUUGGGGGGGAAACGAAUGGGGCUGGCACUGCACCGACCGAGGUUAAGGCGGACGCGGUGGGGCGGGCGGACGGACUGGCGGAUCCCAUCGGACCGCCCCCGGACGUUUCAUAAAAAGCCGCUCCCCCGACCGCCGCACUCCUCGCCGGGGCGCGUCAGCGUCGGUCGGGACCGGGCUGCGGGUCGCGGACGGAAAGGAGCGCGCCGUCCCGGUUCGCCGCGUCGCGCGCGCCACCCCACUCCGCGUCCGAUCGCGAGCACCGGGCCCGACCGAGGCAAUCAGGUCGCGGCGCGAGCCCUUCGGGGCGGGGGUCCCGCGUCCUCGGCCGGCGGACUUUCGCAAAGGCGGUGGACUGCCGCGCAGUGCAUCGCCGCCGCCGCCGACCGAGGCCAAAAGCGGCAAGGCCACCCCUUGCGCGCCCAGGACGCUGGCGAAGACACGGCCCCAUCCGACCCGUCUUGAAACACGGACCAAGGAGUCUAACAUGUGCGCGAGUCUUCGAGUGAGCGAAACUCGCCGGCGCAACGAAAGUGAAGGGCCGCGUCUCCGCAAGGGGGCCGG